AGCCUUCUAAUGCUCGUACUUUAAUUCCUUCUCUGACGUUUCCGAGCACUGUUUUUUUUCCUGUUUGGAUAAAACGUUGCAAGCUCCCAAUGUCCUGGAAUCUUCUAUAGUGUUCGUAAUCGUUUCCAACUUCCAUUUUUUCUUUCUUGUUUGUACAAACGUUUCUGUGGUCUAAAGUAAACUAUGAAAAAAUUCUACGUAUCUAUAUACAUACUCCUUGUACACAUAAACCUUACAAACAAGAAACAAUAACAAUUUUUGUGCAAAUUAAAAUCGAGAAUAAGUCUUCAGAAUCUGAAAUUAGAGAAUAAAACAGCUUUAGCAUUGUUUAUCAUUGACUACAGUCAGAUAUCAAUUUAACUGAAGACAAUAUACUCACCCUUUGUCUGAGGUAAGGAAUGGUUAUACAUUUUUAAAAAAUAUUGCAGCAUCAACGGGUGCUGCAAAUACAAAUAUCUAAACAAUUAAAGAAACAUUCAAAAUUUCUUAUAUUUGUUUUCCUUUUUUUUGUAUUCUAUCUUUAGCAUAGUGAAACCAUUUUGCAAUAUUCCCUUUAAUGUCAGAUAUCCUGGUGUACGGCAAUUUUUUUGUUGUACAUUCUGGAAUUCAGCAAUCAAAGUUGAAAAGAUAUGGAUAAACAAUAAAAAAAUUCAUCAUAACCUUCAACAAUGGCAAUGCUGUCGUAAUGUUGCAUUUCAAAGUUUUGAUUUUUGCCGUAGAAAUCAUAUUUGGCCGCAACUUUCUCACUAAAAAUAGCUUUUAAACUACCUAGACCUUUAAAAUAUGUCUAGGGUUUGGUCCGGCAUUUUGUUGAGCAGGCUCAUCUUGUCAUCUUCUUCCCUUUCUCGAACGAAAUUUUUUAAGUCAUCGAUUGUUUUACAUGGUGUAUCUAAAUAUGGAAGUUAUACAACUUAAUUUUUGGUUUUCUUCUAUACUUCUUUCAUCACAUUUGUAACGAGAUGAUAAUAAUUUACUUGCAUCGCUUUUAAAAUUUGUUUUGUAUCCUCAGAGUGGGAUUUCGUGAGGAAUUUCUCAAUUUUUAGAGAUGCGUUAGUUUAAGAGUCAAUGAAAAUAGUGGUAAUACAUUUGUAACGGGGCAAUAGGAUGACGACCUCGGGAUAGGAAUUGUGAAAAGGAAAACCGGAUCUGGAACAGGAUAGGGAUUUCUGAAAAGGAAUGGGUUAGGACAUGAAUGUGCAUCGAAGUGGACCAUGGCAUGCUGGGGGAGCAUGCUGUAAAAUAAGAUCAAAAAAAGGGUUCAGUUUGUUUCUGUUGCAAUGCAUACAUUAAUUCUCACAAAAAAGGGAAAUUGUUUUCUUUAUCUAUUGUAAAAUAAGCAAAUAGUACAGUAAUUUUAGGUAUUUGUAUCCCCAAUCUGUGGAAAAAUUCCUAUUGGGCUGAAUUUUGGUACAGACCUUCGUUAAGGCGUUGUAAUGAAGAUGUGAAAAAUCGACAUUGAUAUCGUGCCGGCAGCGCACGGUUGUCUAAAAUGACUUAUCUCGUUGCAAAAAUCAUAACUUUUGAACGGGUUGAGGUAGCGGUUCAAUUUUUUUUUUAUUUGAAGGAAAUUUUCAGGGCUGUUAUACCAAUGAAUUUCAAUUUAAAACUUUUCCAUCUAUCAUAGUCAGGAAGAAUUCAUGUCGAAACAACAUUUUUUUUUCUUCGUUAAGUGUGAUUCCAGUUGGUGCUAGAUUUUUUAUUUGGUUCCUUAUAUUGCUGACAGUUGUCUGAAUAAUAUCUCUGCUCUGGAAUCCUUGCCGUAUUUAAACAUUAUCGGUCAGCAAAAGUGAAUAGAUGACGACCUUGGAUUCUUCCAAUGUUCGUUUAAAUCACUUCUUAGACGAAGUGGAACUAGUGAUGCCAUAAACAUGUUCGCGUCAGAUACUACUUCACCAUCUUCUGAAACUAUUCUUUGUUUGUAUGCACUUUUCCCAGAAGACCCAUCGCAUCCCCAUUUGCUUAACAAAUUUAAUUGUGUUGAUAGGACUUGUAGUUCCCUGUUGUCUAGGCUGUUUAUUAUCCUCUUUGCUGUAUGGUCCACCAAAUCUCGAAGAAUAAAUUCAGUGGAAAUCAACAUUAACAAAUACCAGCUUGAGUACAUCAAGAUUAUUUAUCUUUACCAAAAAAUUUUUCGGACAAGAAAGCCAAAAUUAUCAAAUUUGAUAUUUAUGACAAACAGAUGAUUGUUCUAUUUGUAACAUUAGCAGAUUUUGAAUGCAUACAGAAACCAAUUGAAACUUGUUUAACUGAUUUAUCCAAUUCUUCGAAAACAAACCUGCAAGAACAUGUUCCCUGUGCAUUUUCAUAUUAUAUGAAAUGCUUUCAUUAUUUUCUUAUCCUUAUAUUUUUGAUUUAUUUAUUUAGAUAUACGAGAACAUUGUGCGAGUGAAUUCAUCCACAGUUUAGCUCAAGACACCAUGAACCAGUACAGCGAACACAUCAGAAGCGUGACAUUGAUGAAACCACUCACAGAGAUGCAGUCAACAUAGAUGAAGGCAACAAUAUGCGGAAAAAAGAUUAACGUUGGAAAAAUCAAGGAAAUAAUGUGCUGGACAAAGGCGAAACAAAAAAUGCAUUUAACAGUGAUACGACAUCAACGGAGGAAUGAAUUUAAUCGCUAAUAUGUGGGACGACGUUUAUUCACUAGCUGCUAUUUUGAAUAUUGCAACAUUAAUUGGUUGUUUUUUAAACCAUCAUGUCGAUUUGAGACAAAGGCUAUUAGGUCAAAGCAAACUCUCUUAAAAACUUAGAAGUAAAAUCAAACGUUAAGCAGAGCAAUUACUUGGAGAAGCAACCAAAGCUGUAAUCUACCUAAGGUUAUUCGUCGAAAAAUGACAAACAAUCUAAUAACCACCUGCCCAUGUGUACCACAUCAAUUUGGACCAGCCACCAAUAUCGUGAAGAUGUUUCACGAAUAAAGACGCUAAAGUAGAUGUUGAAACUCUGGCCUGUCAGUCGGAAGGAAUAAGAAGCGCCUGAAGGUUGGUGGAAUUCGCAAGACACAUUCCUGGAUUCGGGAUUUACGAUGUAAGCUGCGUUUUUAUUUAUUUUCUCAAUACCUUUCCAAAAUAAGAUUACUAAACAAAUAUUUACCAGGAUAUCGCCUUUGAAAAUGACGAAUAGGGUCUUAUGUAC